rnacentral:rRNA from 1 species
UACGAAGGGUGCAAGCGUUACUCGGAAUUACUGGGCGUAAAGCGUGCGUAGGCGGUUUGUUAAGUCCGUUGUGAAAGCCCUGGGCUCAAUCUGGGAAUUGCAGUGGAUACUGGCGAGCUAGAGUGCGGUAGAGGAUGGUGGAAUUCCCGGUGUAGCGGUGAAAUGCGUAGAGAUCGGGAGGAACACCCGUGGCGAAGGCGGCCAUCUGGACCAGCACUGACGCUGAGGCACGAAAGCGUGGGGAGCAAACAGGG